GCUGGGUGUGGUGGCGUGCGCCUGUAGUCCCAGCUACUCAGGAGGCUGAGGCAGGAGAAUCACUUGAACCCAGGAGGUGGAGGUUGCAGUGAGCCAAGAUCGUGCCACUGCACUCCAACCUGGGUUACAGAGCCAGACUCUGUCUCAA
ensembl:misc_RNA Metazoa_SRP Metazoan signal recognition particle RNA